UACAGAGGCCCCAAGCGUUACUGAGAAUCACUGGGUUUAAAGGGUGCGUAGGUGGCGCGUUAAGUCCGUUGUGAAAGCCCUGGGCUCAACCCAGGAACGGCUUCGGAUACUGGCGCGCUUGAGGCUAGGAGGGGAGACUGGAACUGACGGUGGAGCGGUGAAAUGCGUAGAUAUCGUCCGGAACGCCGAUGGCGAAGGCGGGUGACUGGGCAAGUUCUGACGCUGAGGCACGAAAGCGUGGGGAGCGAACGGG
rnacentral:rRNA from 1 species